UACGUAGGUCCCGAGCGUUGUCCGGAUUUAUUGGGCGUAAAGCGAGCGCAGGUGGUUUAUUAAGUCUGGUGUAAAAGGCAGUGGCUCAACCAUUGUAUGCAUUGGAAACUGGUAGACUUGAGUGCAGGAGAGGAGAGUGGAAUUCCAUGUGUAGCGGUGAAAUGCGUAGAUAUAUGGAGGAACACCGGUGGCGAAAGCGGCGCUCUGGCCUGUAACUGACACUGAGGCUCGAAAGCGUGGGGAGCAAACAGG
rnacentral:rRNA from 1 species